rnacentral:rRNA from 1 species
UUCCAGACUCCUACGGGAGGCAGCAGUGAGGAAUAUUGGUCAAUGGGCUUACGCCUGAACCAGCCAAGUCGCGUGAGGGAAGACUGCCCUAUGGGUUGUAAACCUCUUUUGUCAGGGAGCAACGCCGGCUACGUGUAGCCGGACUGAGAGUACCUGAAGAAAAAGCAUCGGCUAACUCCGUGCCAGCAGCCGCGGUAAUACGGAGGAUGCGAGCGUUAUCCGGAUUUAUUGGGUUUAAAGGGUGCGUAGGCGGCAUUAUAAGUUAGUGGUAAAAUAUUGGGGCUUCACCUCACUACGCCAUUAAUACUGUAGAGCUAGAGAACAGACGAGGUAGGCGGAAUAAGUUAAGUAGCGGUGAAAUGCAUAGAUAUAACUUAGAACACCGAUAGCGAAGGCAGCUUACCAGACUGAGUCUGACGCUGAUGCACGAGAGCAUGGGUAGCGAACAGGAUUAGAUACCCUAGUA